rnacentral:rRNA from 1 species
AUUGAACGCUGGCGGCAGGCCUAACACAUGCAAGUCGAGCGGAUGAAGGGAGCUUGCUCCUGGAUUCAGCGGCGGACGGGUGAGUAAUGCCUAGGAAUCUGCCUGGUAGUGGGGGAUAACGUCCGGAAACGGGCGCUAAUACCGCAUACGUCCUGCGGGAGAAAGUGGGGGAUCUUCGGACCUCACGCUAUCAGAUGAGCCUAGGUCGGAUUAGCUAGUUGGUGGGGUAAAGGCCUACCAAGGCGACGAUCCGUAACUGGUCUGAGAGGAUGAUCAGUCACACUGGAACUGAGACACGGUCCAGACUCCUACGGGAGGCAGCAGUGGUGAAUAUUGGACAAUGGGCGAAAGCCUGAUCCAGCCAUGCCGCGUGUGGGAAGAAGGUCUUCGGAUGGUAAAGCACGUUAAGUUGGGAGGAAGGGCAGUAAGUUAAUACCUUGCUGUUUUGACGGUACCAACAGAAUAAGCAACGGCUAACUUCGUG